rnacentral:rRNA from 1 species
GUGAGGAAUAUUGGACAAUGGGCGCAAGCCUGAUCCAGCCAUGCCGCGUGCAGGAAGAAGCAUCUAUGGUGUGUAAACUGCUUUUGUACGGGAAGAAACACUCCUUCGUGAAGGAGCUUGACGGUACCGUAAGAAUAAGGAUCGGCUAACUCCGUGCCAGCAGCCGCGGUAAUACGGAGGAUCCAAGCGUUAUCCGGAAUCAUUGGGUUUAAAGGGUCCGUAGGCGGUUUGGUAAGUCAGUGGUGAAAGCCCGCAGCUCAACUGUGGAACGGCCAUUGAUACUGCCAGACUUGAAUUACAAGGAAGUAACUAGAAUAUGUAGUGUAGCGGUGAAAUGCUUAGAUAUUACAUGGAAUACCAAUUGCGAAGGCAGGUUACUACUUGUGGAUUGACGCUGAUGGACGAAAGCGUGGGGAGCGAACAGGAUUAGAAACCCGUGUAGUCC